GCGCCUACGGGAGGCAGCAGUGAGGAAUAUUGGUCAAUGGCCGAGAGGCUGAACCAGCCAAGUCGCGUGAGGGAAGACGGCCCUACGGGUUGUAAACCUCUUUUGUCGGGGAGCAAAGCGAGUUACGUGUGACUCAUUGAGAGUACCCGAAGAAAAAGCAUCGGCUAACUCCGUGCCAGCAGCCGCGGUAAUACGUAGGUGGCGAGCGUUAUCCGGACUUAUUGGGUUUAAAGGGUGCGCAGGCGGUCUGUUAAGUCAGCGGUCAAAGCCCGGGGCUCAACCCCGGCCCGCCGUUGAAACUGGCG
rnacentral:rRNA from 1 species